rnacentral:rRNA from 1 species
AACGAACGCUGGCGGCAUGCCUAACACAUGCAAGUCGAACGAGAUCUUCGGGUCUAGUGGCGCACGGGUGCGUAACGCGUGGGAAUUUGCCCUUUGGUUCGGAAUACCAGUUGGAAACGACUGCUAAUACCGGAUGAUGACGAAAUUCCAAAGAUUUAUCGCCAGAGGAGGAGCCCGCGUAGGAUUAGCUAGUUGGUGUGGUAAAGGCGCACCAAGGCGACGCUCCUUAGCUGGUCUGAUAGGAUGAUCAGCCACACUGGGACUGAGACACGGCCCAGACUCCUACGGGAGGCAGCAGUGGGGAAUAUUGGACAAUGGGCGAAAGCCUGAUCCAGCAAUGCCGCGUGAGUGAUGAAGGCCUUAGGGUUGUAAAGCUCUUUUACCCGGGAUGAUAAUGACAGUACCGGGAGAAUAAGCUCCGGCUAACUCCGUGCCAGCAGCCGCAGUAA